UAGUGGUCUGGGACUUCUGCUACUAAAUUUCCCUGAAUCUCUACUUUGCCAUCUGUCCAAUAGGGCCACCGAUACUUCUCUGUGGUACAGCAAGAAAUUAAAUGAGCUAUAUUGGGAUCCAUGAAAUGUUUUCUCUGUUCACUUCUGAAUUCUGUCCUUAGGUCGUUAGGAAAUUGAGGGAGAUGAUAUUCUUGAGUCAUGGACAUCUGUCAUCUAAUGAAGAUCGAUAAAGAACCAUUUAGCCCAGUGCUGGCUGGGCUGCGUCCAGAGGAGUCUCAUUCCCAAGAACUAUGAUCCAGUUCUUCGCCAUGGGAAAACAGCCAGCAUAAGUGCCAUUGAUUAAGAA
rnacentral:lncRNA from 1 species